AUAACCCAACCCCUAAUUCAUUCACUUUAGUCAUCUCUUUCUUCGAACAAACCCCUUUCUCAAAAUCCCUCUUUAGUUUUAUUAGGAUUUCGGAUUGAAAGCAGGCUAUUGUCAACAGUGGUUUCAAAAUUCGAUUUUGUGGGAAGAUUGAUGUAAAUUAUCAAGCAUGACUGAUGACUGAUGGGUGAAUGGCUAAUUUCUCCAGAGUUAUUGUAUAGUAAGAAGUUGGUCCAUAUGUGGAAUAGGUUUGGCCUGGAUUUGUUGUCUUAUAAAGAUUUAUGUGAAGAGUCCACAAAAGAGUUAGGGUUUACUAAUGUGAAACGGCUUUUAGUUGUUGGGCCCUCGGGUAGGUUCUAUAUAAUUGAUGGAGAUGAUGGUAUCAGGGCGGGCUUUACAGUGCGUUAUAUGUUUGGAGUUCAAAAUUGUAAACUUGUUUGUUGUAGAUGAGUUAGAUUUGACUGUCCAUACUCAAAAUAUUCCGCAUCAUACUGAAACAUAUCAUGUAGAUGUUAAAGCAGUAUCUGAAAAUGAACAUGUUAUUGGGGAUUAUGAUUUUGAUGUUGAUGCUACAUCUAAUGUUGAUUAUGAUUCUGAAGGACUUGAGGUUAUUAGCAAACAAAGGAUGAGGGUAGUUGUUUGACCAAAAAGUAUAACUUUCGGCUGAAACUAUUAUAUUUACGUAAUAACGGGUUAAACCUAGUUAAUGAUAAUAUCUCUAGAUGCGAAUCUUGAAAACGGGUGUGAGGUGGGAUAGAUCCAAUAAGGGGUUGACAAUAACAAGCAUUAAAUAGUCAUAAAGUAUAAGCAAUAAUGGAAUGAAGAGUGGCUGAUAAUAAAUAGCAAUAAAUGGAAUUUGAGUAAAUAGGAGGAGUGAUUCACCCAAUAAAUAAUGAGCUAGGUGAUUAUUCCUUCUCACAAUGAUGAGUGAUAGACAGAUCUUAGAACAUUCAAAAUCUUCUCGGAUCUGAUGGAAAAGUGUAGGAUAAUAUGAAUAAGAAUCUUGAUAAAAGAGUGUUCUUUGUAUCUUUUCAAGAGGAAGGGAAUCGUUUUGCAAGGUCUGCUCUUAUCAUAAUGAAUAUCACAUGCCUCUAUUUAUUAACCUUUUCUAUUUAUAUGAGACAUACUCCCAGUAAACCCUAGCAGUACAAGUGCAGAGAAUAUUCAAUGGAAUAUUCUGUUUAAUUCCCUAUUCUAAUAAAUUAGUCGUUACAACUCUUUCUGCGGUGCUUGACAUCGGCCAUCAUUUGCAUAUCGACCACGAGCCUCAAUAUCUCCUGGUCGACCUCGGAUGACUCUUUUCUCGAUGUUAUUUUGCCCUAAGUACUGAGACAGAUUUCGACUUAUACAGUAGUAAGUGAUAGGUUGGAGAAUUUUAAGGAGUUGGAUAAGGGUAUGACAUUUAAGGAUAUUGUGGAAGCUAAAAGGGUAAUGAACUAUUAUGCAAUUGCUAAUGGGUAUGGCUUGAAGAUUGAAAAAAACAAAUCCUAUUAGGGCUAGAUAUAUUUGUGAUGUUGGAUGCCCUUUUAGAUGUUCUAUCUCAAGGUAUAAAAAGACUAAUGAGUUUAGUAUCAAAAACUUGAAAGCAAUCCAUAAUUGUGAUCCUUGUUAUAAAAACCCAAGGACUGAUGCUAAGACAUUAGCACAAUACUUUAAUAAUAAACUACAAAACAAUCCCAAGUACACUAUUAGGGAUAUGAGAUAGAAAUUAGAGACUGAUUUUAAACUGGUAGUGACAAAAUUUAAGAUUAAAAGGGCUAAGGUGAUGGCCCUUGAGAAGUUAGAUGGGAGUUUCAAGGAUGAAUAUAACAAGCUUGACGCUUAUGGUCAAGAACUAAGAAAGUCUAAUUCUGGGAGUGAUGUUGCAAUCAACAUAUCAAAGGAUAAUUUGGAAGAAGGAAAAAGAAGGUUCUUGAGAUUGUACAUAUAUUUCCAAGCUUUGAAGCUAUGCUUCAAAAGUGGAUUAAGACCACUUAUUGGUUUGAAUGGUACUUUCUUGAAAGGAAAAUACAAGGGUCAGCUAUUGGUGGCCAUGGGACAGGAUUCUAUGAAUCAGUUCUAUCCACUUGCAUGGGCAGUGAUUGACAAGGAAACAAGCAGGACAUGAAGUUGGUUUGUUGAGCUUUUGAAAAGGUUUUGGACCUAAAUAAUGGGGCUGGAGUGACGUUUAUACUAGACAUGAAAAAGCACUGUACUUCCUUAUGCUCAUCACAUGUAUUGUGCUAGACACAUUGAAGCCAACUGGUUAAAAAAAAUGGAGGAGUGGAAAAAUGAGGAAGUUGGUGUGGUGGCGUGCUUGGAGUACUUAUGAAGAAGAGUUUAAAGAUCAAUUGUUGAAGCCUGGGGGAUGUCAAUGGAUGCUGCAAGGGGCCUGAUCAACUAUCUACCAAAAGCAUGAUAUAGAGCCUACUUUGAUACACAGUGUAAAAAUCUAAUGGUGGACAACAACUUUACUGAGUCCUUUAAUGCAUGGAUUCUGGAUGCUAGACAUAUGCCAAUUAUCAAGAUAUUGGAGGCAAUAAGGAUCAAGGUCAUGAAAAGGCUUGCUGAUUAUGAAGGCAAAGCUAUGUGCUGGAAUGCAAAUUUCAGUCCACCAUGUAUGAAAUUAUACAGUGACUAUAGGGCAAUAUCACAUGCUUGCACUUUGAACUUUAAUGGAGACUAUGGCUUUGAAAUCACAGAAGGUAAAGACAAAUAUACUGUGAAUCUUGAGAAGAAGAGAUGUACCUACAGGUUGUGGGAUUUAUCUGGGAUACCUUGUCCCCAUGCUAUUAAGGCAUUAAUGUAUGAGGAGAUUGAACCAGUGACACAAAUACACUGGUGGUAUAGUAAUGAGGCUUAUUUGCUGACAUACAAGUACAAUUCAGCCUAUUAAAGGGGUGCAAUUCUGGAAAGUUCUGCCUAGUCAAGCCAUAGAGCCACGUGAAAUUGUCAAGAUGGUUGGAAGACCCAAAGUAAAGAGGAAUAGGGUUGCGGAUGAAGCUUUGAAGAGGAAAGGUGAAUGGGGCAGUUCAAGGAAGAGGAUUAUAAUGACAUGCAGUAAGUGUGCAUAUGAAAAUCAUAAUGCAAAAGAAUGUUACAAGAGUAAUAGUGUUAGGCUGUGUUCAAAGAAGAGGAAAGACUUGGACAAUACCCCCACAUUGACAUCUUCAGAAGAUGAAACACGAGAGCUUGGACAGAGCUGAAUGUUUAGUGAAGCAUUCUUUGAAACUGAAGUGGGAACACAACGGUCAGUCUUUAACACUCAAGCUCGAACACAAGAGUACAACAUUUAUGGACCUGGUAUUGGAGAUGAUGAAGACCUAACAAUUAGGCUGAUGGUUAUAUUUAAGACUGUCACAAGACUAACCAUGAGAAAGGUACACAUGAAUCUAACUGGUAUAAGAAUGAUUCAAUUUACUUGAGAUGAAACAGGUGCAACAACACCAACGAACCUGCUUUAUUCACCAACAAAGGCUACUUGAAAUGGAAAACCAGCAAUUACAUCAAGCCAGCUUCAAGCAUAAGUUAGAAAAAGAAGUACAAUAUGAAGGCAAUAAAGGGCCAGGGAGAACCAGCAAAUGAUUGAAACAAGCAUUUUAAGCUACUGUUUGUUUUUUGUGGAUUAAGUUUUUGUAAUGUUCAAUUAUACAGCUAGACUGUUGAAGCAUGGUGGUAUUUAAAGGUUAAACUGGUUGACUAUUUGGCUUUUUGUUGUUACAUUUAGUUUAACCUUGAAAUAUCAAUUAGAUUUUAGUAUUAUGUAUUUUGAAGACAGUUGAUGUUAGACAUCUUAUUUAAAUGUCAGCUUUGAUCAGUUUAGUUUA